AUCGCUUCUCUGCCUUUUGGCUAAGAUCAAGUAUAGCAUCAAAUUAUUCAAAUACAGAUGCCUUUCUUUAAGCUUCUAAAAUUUUUUAAAAUUAUUUUCCCAAAACAAUUAAAUAUUUUAAAGCUUUUAAUCAUUAAAAGUUUUUACUGUAGAUGGAUAUGGGGGGUGGGGGGGGGGAACAUCAGAC